rnacentral:rRNA from 1 species
GAGUUUGAUCAUGGCUCAGAUUGAACGCUAGCGGGAUGCCUUACACAUGCAAGUCGAACGGCAGCACGGACUUCGGUCUGGUGGCGAGUGGCGAACGGGUGAGUAAUGUAUCGGAACGUGCCUAGUAGCGGGGGGAUAACUACGCGAAAGCGUAGCUAAUACCGCAUACGCCCUACGGGGAAAGGCAGGGGAUCGCAAGACCUUGCACUAUUAGAGCGGCCGAUAUCGGAUUAGCUAGUUGGUGGGGUAACGGCUCACCAAGGCGACGAUCCGUAGCUGGUUUGAGAGGACGACCAGCCACACUGGGACUGAGACACGGCCCAGACUCCUACGGGAGGCAGCAGUGGGGAAUUUUGGACAAUGGGGGAAACCCUGAUCCAGCCAUCCCGCGUGUGCGAUGAAGGCCUCGGUU